UACGUAGGUGACAAGCGUUGUCCGGAUUUACUGGGCGUAAAGAGCGCGCAGGCGGUCGAUCAAGUCGAGUGUGAAAGCCCCCGGCUCAACUGGGGAGGGUCAUUCGAAACUGGUCGACUCGAAGGCAGGAGAGGGUAGUGGAAUUCCCAGUGUAGCGGUGAAAUGCGUAGAUAUUGGGAGGAACACCGGUGGCGAAGGCGGCUACCUGGACCGGUACUGACGCUGAGGCGCGAAAGCUAGGGUAGCAAACAGG
rnacentral:rRNA from 1 species